GACGAACGCUGGCGGCGUGCUUAACACAUGCAAGUCGAGCGGUAAGGCUCCUUCGGGAGUACACGAGCGGCGAACGGGUGAGUAACACGUGAGCAAUCUGCCCUUCACUUUGGGAUAACCUCCGGAAACGGUGGCUAAUACCGAAUAUGACCACUUCACGCAUGUGAUGGUGGUGGAAAGUUCUGGCGGUGGAGGAUGAGCUCGCGGCCUAUCAGCUUGUUGGUGAGGUAAUGGCUCACCAAGGCUUCGACGGGUAGCCGGCCUGAGAGGGUGACCGGCCACACUGGGACUGAGACACGGCCCAGACUCCUACGGGAGGCAGCAGUGGGGAAUAUUGGACAAUGGGCGAAAGCCUGAUCCAGCAACGCCGCGUGAGGGAUGACGGCCUUCGGGUUGUAAACCUCUUUCAGUACCGACGAAGCGAAAGUGACGGUAGGUACAGAAGAAGGACCGGCCAACUACGUGCCAGCAGCC
rnacentral:rRNA from 1 species